rnacentral:rRNA from 1 species
AGUGAACGCUGGCGGUAGGCCUAACACAUGCAAGUCGAGCGGCAGCACAGUAAGAGCUUGCUCUUACGGGUGGCGAGUGGCGGACGGGUGAGGAAUACAUCGGAAUCUACUUUUUCGUGGGGGAUAACGUAGGGAAACUUACGCUAAUACCGCAUACGACCUACGGGUGAAAGCAGGGGAUCUUCGGACCUUGCGCGAUUGAAGGAGCCGAUGUCGGAUUAGCUAGUUGGCGGGGUAAAGGCCCACCAAGGCGACGAUCCGUAGCUGGUCUGAGAGGAUGAUCAGCCACACUGGAACUGAGACACGGUCCAGACUCCUACGGGAGGCAGCAGUGGGGAAUAUUGGACAAUGGGCGCAAGCCUGAUCCAGCCAUACCGCGUGGGUGAAGAAGGCCUUCGGGUUGUAAAGCCCUUUUGUUGGGAAAGAAAAGCAGCAGGUUAAUACCCCGCUGUUCUGACGGUACCCAAAGAAUAAGCACCGGCUAACUUCGUG